rnacentral:tRNA from 2 species
UAGAAAGUAAUAUAAGGGGAGUAUGGAGGGUUUUGAUCCCUCUAGUGUAGGUUCGAUUCCUGCCUUUCUAA